UAGUCAGUGUCAACUACGCCUAUCUUUGUGCUCUGUGGUUAUCUCUCAGCAAACACUCUCUUACAGACUUCUCAAAACACUGUUGCCGGCUUUCUCCAUCGGCAUCCUGUUUUGUUCCUUGUUCUCACACCUGACCUUGCGCGUACCAAGGUUGCUUAACCAGCUGCACAGUGCCUGCAUGGCUUUUCUCAGUCAGCCAGUCAUCAAUAAAUCUCUCCACACAAUCUGAUCUAGCUGUAGAUGUCCCUGUUCACUGCAGAGGAGUUGGAUUAGAUGACCUUUAAAGGUCACUUUCAACUCAAACGAUUCUCUGAUAAAAAUUCAGUAGAAUGGCCAAGAGCUGACAGUAGGAGUUAAAGCAUUGUUACUCCUAGCACUGCCUAGAUGGGCAUCCAAUCUGUGCCUGGGAGGGAUGCAAAGUGCCUCCCACUGUUUUCUGUCUCUGGGCAGGAGGAGGACACGGACUGUACUACAUCAUCAAAAAUAAAGAAGCAGACGCUCGGACAGAAGAGAAGUUAAUGGACAAUGAACACCUGUUAACAUCAGAAUUUAGGUGGGAGCCAUUCUGCAAAUGUUAUUGUUCAGAAGAACUGAGGAUGUUGUUUUGGACUGCAGGAAACUUAGUCACUUCAAAAUGACAGAAAUGGAGAAAUAAAGCAAAAAAAAUCAACAGUAACUGGAAACGUGGUUAGAAGAAGCUUUUCAAUGAGUUGUAUUCACAAAGAAUAAGAAUCAGAAGAAGAGAGCUGUUUGAUGAAGGCCUUUAACGAUAGGAAGAAAAGAAAAAUAAACCCUAGAGAACAAACUGAACAAUGACAGGUAAAACAUAGGAUAGUGGUGUCACACUGUAACUGCAUUACUUUGUAUAGCUGGCUUCCUCACAACACCAAACUCUCUUUGUAGAAAUGUUAAAACAGCUUAAAGAUGACAGAUGAGCACGGACACGCAAGAACACAAGUUGAUUUCAGCAGUGUGAUCGCAAUUGAAACUCUGACCCUCAGCACAGAAACUUGUAUCAAUCUUUGGCAAAGGGAAUCUUGAGAAAAACAGUAGCAAAAGGAUUGCUUUCAGUUUGUUGUUUGUGCAUCUGGAAGCUCGUUAAGCAUGCUGCUUUCUGUGAGCAGCAUAUGGCUGCAAGGAAGGCUGAGGUCAACAGAAUCUAUGUGAUUAAAAGCUUUUCCAGCCUGGCAACGCACUGGUACGAAUGGAGACAGAAGCAGGCAGAAUGAUAGCAUCCCUCAUUUUAAAGUGGAUUCGAUUUCAGGUAGAUUUGUGGGGCUUUUUUCAGACACAGAUGCUAUGGGAAGUACAGACAUUGUGUUAAAUGCACCGAAAAAGGCUUGUCUGUACUUUGACAGUGUCAGACUUUAACUGAUGUUUGAACUAUAGUAGCCCCCUACACUUUAAUACUUGUCUUUAAGUACUUUCAUCCUGAAUAUGCAAGGCUCCCUAUCAGUUCUCAGCAUUCAGGUAUACAUAUCUAUCAUAUUCCACUUUUCCUUUGGCAGCUCACACAGGACGCUCCUCAACAUAAACAUUUCCUUCCAUUUCUACCCAAGCAGCACCAAGGGGCUCAAAACAAAACACCAGAACAAAACUUCCUGACAACGUAAUAACAUUUUUUCCCACUGUGCUCAGUAAGUUCACACAAAGAAGCGUCCGUCAGGGCAGCACUCGGCCCAGCCAGCUUUGUACAGAUCCGUCAGCUCAGCACAACCAGUCCUACCUGUUCUCAGCCCCAGAGGACACGAAAACCCCCCCUCUGCAGUACAACCAGCUGUCAGAGAGCAGACAGAGGUAAAGCCAAGCGCUGCCGCAAGCCGCCGCCGCCGCCAGCAGCCAGCCAGCCUCACUGGGAAGAUGAGCGCGCCUCGCCGUACGCAUCGCUAACUGCGAGGGCUGCCGUGGCACCCGCUCCCUCGCCAGCCACGUCCCUCGACCGCUUCUGAGGUGUCUGAAAGAGGACUCCCCGUUGGAAUUUGUACCGUGAAAACCCCAGGUGUCAGGGAAUCGUCCUCCAUCAUGAUGGUGCCCACAGCAAGGGACAGAGCUCUGCGCCUACCCUGGGAGGACUCUCACCCUCCUGAGCUGCCCAACAGGAUGUGCUCACUGAGAGAGAUGAUGCCUUUGGUAUUCCCUCUCCAGAUGCUCGUCUGGAUCCAGAUUUUGCGCCUCAGGGGAAACCUAGAGGCCCUCUUGGUCAAUCUGCAGAGUGGAAUCCUGACCCUGAGCCUGGUAUGGAUGCUGGAGAAGUGCCCCCCGGGAAGGCCUUGCCAAGUCCUCGGCUCUUUCCUGUGCUGGAGCCCCGCUGGAAUCCCAGGGGUCUGGAAAAAGGAAAGGAUGCAUCUAGAAGAGGAAAAUACUCACAGAGGUCAUCUCGUGUGCUAAAGGAACUGCUGAAGGAAAUGGAGAAGGCAGCGCGUGGGACUGACCAACAAACUGCACAGGACGCGCUGCAGGAAGGCAGCCAUCCCACGCUGCCAGUCUGGGACAGAGGAACGCAGAUAGCGCCAACGACUGGCAUGCCAGGGAUGAAUGCUGGGAAAAACACAAGGGCUGCGGUUCAGGAGUUUGUACAAGUGCUCUUCUUCCUAGUGAUUGCACUGCUUUUAACAGUGCUGCUGUCUGGGCUGGUGAUGACUUGUACUGCUGUGUCGUGGAUGUGGCAAAAAUAUCCAGUGUGCAAGAGAGCAGAGACAACUCCAGGACAAGCUCAUCCUGACAGUGUGCGGGAGAGAGGCCAGUCUGGAGGUGAAGGCAGAGUGGAGCUGGGAGAGGCAACAAAAGAUGAUGUAGUUGCCCAAGAAAACAAGAACCUGUACAGCGGAUCCAGCCCGUUCCCCUCCUCCUUUGAAGCCGAGUUUGAAUACCUCUGCAGCAAAAUCCGCACAGACCCUUCGCUUUGGCCCACGUGUCCCAGCAGCUCUCCCAUGGACAGUGUCUCUUCCCCAGAUACCCGUGGUUCUCGGGGUUCCCCAUAGCCAUCUAGUGCCCCGGUUACCUGUGUCAGCAGGGCUGAGGUUCCCUGGAAGACCCCACUUUCUGAGUAAUAAAAACACCCUGUGCAAAAGCA